rnacentral:rRNA from 1 species
ACUUUAAUUGAAGAGUUUGAUCAUGGCUCAGAUUGAACGCUGGCGGCAGGCCUAACACAUGCAAGUCGAGCGGUAACAGAUUGAUAGCUUGCUAUCAAUGCUGACGAGCGGCGGACGGGUGAGUAAUGCCUGGGAAUAUACCUGAUGUGGGGGAUAACUAUUGGAAACGAUAGCUAAUACCGCAUAAUCUCUUCG